rnacentral:rRNA from 1 species
CCUACGGGUGGCAGCAGUGAGGAAUAUUGGUCAAUGGACGAGAGUCUGAACCAGCCAAGUAGCGUGAAGGAUGACUGCCCUAUGGGUUGUAAACUUCUUUUAUAUGGGAAUAAAAUGUUCCACGUGUGGGAUUUUGUAUGUACCAUAUGAAUAAGGAUCGGCUAACUCCGUGCCAGCAGCCGCGGUAAUACGGAGGAUCCGAGCGUUAUCCGGAUUUAUUGGGUUUAAAGGGAGAGUAGGUAGAUUGUUAAGUCAGGUGUGAAAGUUUGCGGGUCAACCGUAAAAUUGCAGUUGAAACUGGCAGUCUUGAGUACAGUAGAGGUGGGCGGAAUGCGUGGUGUAGCGGUGAAAUGCUUAGAUAUCACGAAGAACUCCGAUUGCGAAGGCAGUUCACUGGACUGCAACUGACACUGAGGCUCGAAAGUGUGGGUAUCAAACAGGAUUAGAUACCCUUGUAGUC